AAGAAAAGAAGGUAACAUGGCAUGUAAAUGUCAUGUUUAAAAGCUUGUUGACCAGAGUUAUCAAGAAUCCAAGAUCAAUUUCAGUUUCCAGAACUUUCAACAUUUACUCAUCCAUUUGACAGAAUUGGUCAAAAAUGUCAUCCAAUC